CGUGUAGGCGGUUACGUAAGUUGAAUGUGAAAUCCCACGGCUUAACCGUGGAACUGCAUUCAAGACUGCGCGACUUGAGGAUGGGAGAGGAGAAUGGAAUUCCCGGUGUAAGGGUGAAAUCUGUGGAUAUCGGGAGGAACACCAGUGGCGAAGGCGAUUCUCUGGCCCGUUUCUGACGCUGAGAAGCGAAAGCGUGGGGAGCAAACA
rnacentral:rRNA from 1 species